rnacentral:lncRNA from 1 species
UUAAUAUAACUCAAAAGUAGACUACUAAGAGCCGCAAAAAUUUAAAACCGAUUAAACCGGUUAAGGAUACUAGUUUAUUUAAUUUUAACGGGAAAUAAAAAAGAAGAGCAAUUUUGUUUAUUAUAUUGUGAUUCUUACCAAAAAAAAAAUUAUAUAUUGUGAUCACUAAUCUUGUCAUAGUGGUAAAAAUCGUAGUACAUAUACAUAUUGAUGAUCACUAAAUUUGCAACGUUUAUAUUGCGAUACCCCUUAAUAUUCUAAAUCUAAAAUGAUGAUAUGCAAAAAAAAAAAAAUGAUGAUAUGCAAAAUAUUUGAUGAGUGGUUGAUAUCAAAUCUGAAGAGCAUAUGGAUAAGAUUAGCGAUGCUUUUAGCUUGG